AACCCCCGCGCCUUGAACAUGCGUAGAAUCAUCGCUGUUCGCCGCUCUCCCUUCGCUUCCUCCGUCGCAGUCCUGUUUCUUUUCUUGCGCGUGCGUUCAGCUCCUUUGCUCAGCCGCGGAGGUGGAGGGACCACGAGGACUGCGGGCCCUGGGGUCCACAGAUGACAUAUCAGUCGAUAGGCAUGCAUUUACUGUUCGAGGGAAACAAAUAAGGGUGCAGCUUAGGCGAAAAGAAAAUCGUCUUAUUGCCAGUGUCUAAACUCCUAACGACGGAAUGUGUCUCUGAGACUAUGAGUGUGGAUACACGUGUACUUAAAACAGCCCCGCCUGUGUGCAGAGCUCUUGCUGUACGUCAACGCUUUACAGGAGCUAUCGCACUUAAGCCUCAGAACAACUUGAUGAGGCCUAUUUCUAACAGGCUUAUUUAUGUGCAUUCUUAUUCUAUCACGGAUUGGAAUCAGAAAAUUGGACAGUGUUGCAGGUACUCAUUGAUGCAGGCCUACCAGCAGCCACAAAAGUGAGAACUGAAUACACUACGAGAAAUGUUGAAGAAAGAGCUUCAGACAGAAGGGAAAUGAUACCAUUUGGAAAUACAGAUCUACACAAAGGAAUGAUGAGCCCUGGAAAAGGAUUGGUUCCUGGAAGUGGAACUACUGUAUCAAAGAUUUGGAUGUUUUUAAGACCCCAGAAAGGUAUCCCUGGUUUCAAAAAAGAGGGGAAAGCAAGAUUUAAUCCUCUCCUGCCCUCAUCUCCCUUCUGAAUUUGAAUUUUUGGAAAGGUGCUUUCUUUGCCACUGAAGGAGUACACAGCCUCUUCAAUCUUAUAAAGGGACCAAACCAGCAACAUGCUUUCAUUCCUUAUAAAGGAAGCAGGAUUUACUAAUCUCAGUUAUAUACGCUAGGGACACCACUCUGUCUUGACUCACUCACUACUGUCCUUCAAAGCUUCCUCUUGCUCCUCCUCUUCCCCUAAAGAUGGGCGUUUCCCAGGGUUCUGGUUCUCAGACCUCUGCUCACUUGAUACACUUUGUGGUCCAUCUGAUCCACUCUGCACCUACAUUUUAAGGACUCUCAAGAGCCAGACCUUACUUCCAACCCUCCUGGGAUAGUUCCCUGAUACCUCAAAUUCUAGAGGGACAAAACGGAGUUCCUCCUCCUGGACCUGAGGCCCACUCCUCCUACCAGUUCACACCCUAGACCAGAAAUCUGGCAAUCCCUUGCUCUUGCCCCUGCCCUACACCGCCAGUCAAUUUCCCAUUCCACUCACUCGUUUUAAAUUACUUUUCUUGAAUCCCUCUUCCCUCUAUCACCACUGCCACUAGGUACACAGCAGUGGUCCUCAUCCAUCCUUAUUUAGAUCACAGACUGUCUUAUAUUCCGUCUUCCAGUCUCCUGGACCCAACCAGUGUCAUCUUUUCAAAGACAUGUAACCUUUCUACACUUGAGCUUGCUUUUCCAUUUAAAAAAACCUUUUCGUGAUUCUCCAUUUCCUAUAGGUUUUAAUCCUGAGGCCCAAUAGUCAUUUACUCACAAAGCAGAGUAAACCCCGAGAAACUGUCUGCAAAAUUUUAGUAUAGAUCUAGAGGUGCAUUUUUCUGAAGAGAGACCACAUUGCUUUCCAUAGAUUCUCAAAAGGGUAUGUGUCCCCAAAAAGGCUAAAACUUGUAGGUCUCAUGCUAAAGUCCAAACUCUUCAGCAUGGAAAUAUAAAGCCCUGGAUAACCUGGCCAUCCAUCCAGCUUCCUUUCUCAACCCCCUCUUCACUCCCCUCCCCACCCAUCCUUUGCUGGCUGUAGUUCUUCACCACAGGCCUUUGCACAUGCUGCCAUGCUUGCUCAGCUUGAGAUGCCCCUUCCUCUCUGCUUAGUUGGCCUGGCUUUAGCCAUCAAGGAAACUACCUUCUUUGUUUCAAGAAACACCUGAGGUCGUGCUACCUACAGAAGGCUGUGCAGGCUAGGCAAGGUGUUAACUCUUGCCUCCCUGAAGCCAGCCUAGCAAUUGCUUUCUCUUAGCUUCUACCUGCCGGAUUUACAAACUUGGGGGUGGGAGGGGCCGAUGGGGAGAGAAGAGAAAACCACAAAGUAAUGCCAGUAAAACAAACACUGACUGAAAAUUGUUUGUGCAGCACUUACACACUGUAGAAGAACCUCGGGCUGAAUAUACAGUACAUUUUUGUAGUGUUUUCUUGGGAGGGAGAAACUGGGCGGUGAACACGUCAUUUAUAGUUGCCAGCAGAUUUUUUGAUGAGAAAUACCACACACCUUCCUGUUACAGAAUAUUGUAUAGAAAUUUCCAAUACCGUCUGGUUUUCCUUUAUUUUAUGCCUAGCCACCACAUAGUUUAAUGUAUUUUUACAAAUACUGUAAUAACGCAGUUCUGAUAUUCUGCGAUUUACUAGGAGGACUGCUGGGUCAUUUAUCUGAAUUAUUGCUCCUGGUUCACGCCACCACCACUCAAAAAAAAGGCAGUCUACCAUCAUGAUGUGUCUCUAAAAUUCUCCAUCUACCCUGGAAGAUGACCAACUUUUUGAGAUAAACCGUGUUCUGACUAGUCUUUUGGUGAGACCUCCUAUGCCUUACGGCACAGGCUCUAAAAGUCAAAAGUCUCCUCUUUCAGAAAAGUUGUCUUUUGUUGCCUCGUAAGGGAGCUCUUCCAAUUUCUUGGGCGGACGGAUCUGAGCAAAGUGUAUUUCCCUGCUAGUAAAGCACCAACUUAUAAAUAGCGCUCACCGCGCUGAGUCACCAAAACCCGGAGUCUCCCCAAAUAGCUUAUAACGACUGCUGGAAGCGCGUCCCCCGGAGCGGUGACGGACUCCAGCCACACACCUGCGGGGUUGGAGUGUAGGCUCGCGCCGCUGAGCGGGUCCCCAACCAGCCGGCGCCCCGGGAAUGCGGGCAGGGCCUCCGAUUGCCAGCCAAGAAUCAGAGCGUCGGACCUCGCGCGCGCGGACGGCGCUCUCGGAAUGCGGCCCGACUCGGCAGCGACUAGUCCGGGACCGCCCCGCCCCCUCCGGAGCUGGGAGCCGCGGGGGGCCGGCACCAGCCUCCGCCCUGCGCCGCCCGCUCACACAAUGGGGCGCGGCGGGAGGGGGUGAUCGCGGCUGCCUCUCCGGUCCCAGGCCCGGGACUCCGGGCAGCUGGGGAUGCAGCCAGGGUCUAGGGCCGUAAGGAAAACCCCCGUCUAUCCUCCACUCACUCCCACACUUCGAAAUGGCUGCAGCCACCGGUACUGGGGGCUGGGGGAGGGAGCGGAAGCGCCACCCCCUGCAGUCAGGGGAUGGUGACGUCACCCCGACUGUCAGCCUGUA